rnacentral:rRNA from 1 species
CUUGUCUCAAAGAUUAAGCCAUGCAUGUCUAAGUAUAAGCAAUUAUACCGUGAAACUGCGAAUGGCUCAUUAAAUCAGUUAUCGUUUAUUUGAUAGUACCUUACUACUUGGAUAACCGUGGUAAUUCUAGAGCUAAUACAUGCUGAAAACCCCGACUUCGGAAGGGGUGUAUUUAUUAGAUAAAAAACCAAUGCCCUUCGGGGCUCUUUGGUGAUUCAUGAUAACUUAACGGAUCGCAUGGCCUUGCGCCGGCGACGGUUCAUUCAAAUUUCUGCCCUAUCAACUUUCGAUGGUAAGGUAUUGGCUUACCAUGGUUUCAACGGGUAACGGGGAAUUAGGGUUCGGUUCCGGAGAGGGAGCCUGAGAAACGGCUACCACAUCCAAGGAAGGCAGCAGGCGCGCAAAUUACCCAAUCCCGACACGGGGAGGUAGUGACAAUAAAUACUGAUACAGGGCUCUUUUGGGUCUUGUAAUUGGAAUGAGUACAAUUUAAACCCCUUAACGAGGAACAAUUGGAGGGCAAGUCUGGU